UCGCCGAUAGAUUAGUUUUGGGGUGAGUUUGAUUGGUUUUUCUCGGUGGAUGAACGAGCUAUUUUGGGGGUGGGUUUGGUCGGUGCCGACAGUGAAUUUACCGCCAAAAUAGUGAUCCACAAUGGCUAUUUCUCUCCUCUCUCACUCGUUUCUCUCUGUAUUCCACCUAUCUUUCUCGUUUUUUCCCUUCUAUUUCCGAUCCCCCUCUCUUUGUUUCUACUCCCCGAUUUAUAUUUACUCUCUCUAUCUAUGUGUUUUCUUCUACCUCGCAUCUCUCACUAUGUUUCCUCUCUCUGAUAUCUCAAUUUUGAUCCCUUUUCUCUAUGUUUUUGUGUCUGUUUCUAUUAUCAGUGUGGGUAUUUUUGUGUUCCAGUGUUAAUCAAAUUGUGCUGAUAAGUGUGUAUUUGUUAUUGUAUAGGUGGAGUGGUGUGGUGUGGUGUGAGUAUUAUUAGUGAAUGGAAUCAAUAGAGGGGUCUCUGUGUGUUUUGUUGUGUGUUGAAUGGAAAUGGAGGAGUAUAUUUGGAGGAGUGUUUUCUCUCUGUGUGUGUGUAUGUGUAGUGAUUGUGAGAAUCCUUUCUUCUCCUCGGUCUGUAUGUGUAUAUGGAUGGCUAUUUUUGUGUGUAUUUUUGUGAGAGUUUUUCCCAAAGAGGUAAAAACGUGAUUCAGGUAAAAGGAAAAGGGGUACAUGGGUAUGGGGUAGGGUAGGAGUGAGGUGUUCACAUUUAAUUGAGAAGGUUGUUAUUUUGUUAAGAAUUAGUUUUUUUUUUUUUCGUAGAAAAGUUAUUAAAUAGGAUUGGGU
rnacentral:lncRNA from 1 species